ACGGAGGGUGCAAACGUUGCUCGGAAUCAUUGGGCGUAAAGCGCACGUAGGCGGCUUUGCAAGUUGAGUGUGAAAGCCCUGAGCUCAACUCAGGAAGUGCAUCCAAAACUGCAGAGCUCGAGUUCCGAAGGGGGCCAGAGAAUUCCCGGUGUAGAGGUGAAAUUCGUAGAUAUCGGGAGGAAUACCAGUGGCGAAGGCGCUGGCCUGGUCGGAUACUGACGCUGAGGUGCGAUAGCAUGGGGAGCAAACAGG
rnacentral:rRNA from 1 species